rnacentral:rRNA from 1 species
CUGAGUACGGCGGAACACGUGAAAUUCCGUCGGAAUCCGGGAGGACCAUCUCCCAAGGCUAAAUACUCCCUAGUGACCGAUAGUGAACCAGUACCGUGAGGGAAAGGUGAAAAGCACCCCGGAAGGGGAGUGAAACAGUUCCUGAAACCGUGUGCCUACAAGUAGUUAGAGCCCGUUAAUGGGUGAUAGCGUGCCUUUUGUAGAAUGAACCGGCGAGUUACGAUUUGUUGCAAGGUUAAGCGGAAAAAGCGGAGCCGUAGCGAAAGCGAGUCUGAAUAGGGCGCAUAAGUAACAGGUCGUAGACCCGAAACCAGGUGAUCUACCCAUGUCCAGGAUGAAGGUAAGGUAAUACUUACUGGAGGUCCGAACCCACGCACGUUGAAAAGUGCGGGGAUGAGGUGUGGGUAGCGGAGAAAUUCCAAUCGAACUUGGAGAUAGCUGGUUCUCUCCGAAAUAGCUUUAGGGCUAGCCUCGAGGUAAAGAGUCAUGGAGGUAGAGCACUGUUUGGACUAGGGGCCCUUCUCGGGUUACCGAAUUCAGAUAAACUCCGAAUGCCAUGUACUUAUACUCGGGAGUCAGACUGCGAGUGAUAAGAUCCGUAGUCGAAAGGGAAACAGCCCAGACCACCAGUUAAGGUCCCCAAAUAUAUGUUAAGUGGAAAAGGAUGUGGGGUUGCUUAGACAACCAGGAUGUUGGCUUAGAAGCAGCCACCAUUGAAAGAGUGCGUAAUAGCUCACUGGUCGAGUGACCCCGCGCCGAAAAUGUACCGGGGCUAAACAUAUUACCGAAACUGUGGAUGAACCUCUUUAGAGGUUCGUGGUAGGAGAGCGUUCUAAGGGCGGUGAAGUCAGACCGGAAGGACUGGUGGAGCGCUUAGAAGUGAGAAUGCCGGUAUGAGUAGCGAAAGAAGGGUGAGAAUCCCUUCCACCGAAUAUCUAAGGUUUCCUGAGGAAGGCUCGUCCGCUCAGGGUUAGUCGGGACCUAAGCCGAGGCCGAUAGGCGUAGGCGAUGGACAACAGGUAGAGAUUCCUGUACCAGUGCUAAUUGUUUAACCGAUGGGGUGACACAGAAGGAUAGGGAAUCGCACGAAUGGAAAUGUGCGUCCAAGCAGUGAGUGUGAGAAGUAGGCAAAUCCGCUUCUCGCGAAGCAUGAGCUGUGAUGGGGAAGGAAAUUAAGUACGGAAGUUCCUGAUUUCACGCUGUCAAGAAAAGCCUCUAGGAAGAGUAGUACUGCCCGUACCGCAAACCGACACAGGUAGAUGAGGAGAGAAUCCUAAGGUGAGCGAGAGAACUCUCGUUAAGGAACUCGGCAAAAUGACCCCGUAACUUCGGGAGAAGGGGUGCUCUAUUAGGGUGCAAGCCCGAGAGAGCCGCAGUGAAUAGGCCCAGGCGACUGUUUAGCAAAAACACAGGUCUCUGCAAAACCGUAAGGUGACGUAUAGGGGCUGACGCCUGCCCGGUGCUGGAAGGUUAAGAGGAGUGCUUAGCUUCGGCGAAGGUACGAAUUGAAGCCCCAGUAAACGGCGGCCGUAACUAUAACGGUCCUAAGGUAGCGAAAUUCCUUGUCGGGUAAGUUCCGACCCGCACGAAAGGCGCAACGAUCUGGGCACUGUCUCAACGAGAGACUCGGUGAAAUUAUAGUACCUGUGAAGAUGCAGGUUACCCGCGACAGGACGGAAAGACCCCGUGGAGCUUUACUGCAACCUGAUAUGGAAUGUUUGUACCGCUUGUACAGGAUAGGUAGGAGCCGAAGAGACGUGUGCGCUAGCAUACGAGGAGGCAAUGGUGGGAUACUACCCUGGCUGUAUGACCAUUCUAACCCGCCACGCUUAGCGCGUGGGGAGACAGUGUCAGGUGGGCAGUUUGACUGGGGCGGUCGCCUCCUAAAGAGUAACGGAGGCGCCCAAAGGUUCCCUCAGAAUGGAUGGAAAUCAUUCGCAGAGUGUAAAGGCACAAGGGAGCUUGACUGCGAGACUGACAAGUCGAGCAGGGACGAAAGUCGGGCUUAGUGAUCCGGUGGUUCCGCAUGGAAGGGCCAUCGCUCAACGGAUAAA